AGAAUCAACGCUGGCGGCGUGCCUCAGACAUGCAAGUCGAACGCGAAAGUCCCCUUCGGGGGACAAGUAGAGUGGCGCACGGGUGAGUAACACGUAGGUAAUCUACCUUCGGAUGGGGAAUAACAACCGGAAACGGUUGCUAAUACCGCAUAAUGCAGCGGCACCUAAUGGUGACAGUUGUUAAAGCGGGGGAUCGAAAGACCUCGCGUCUGAAGAGGAGCCUGGCGGCGGAUUAGCUAGUUGGUAGGGUAACGGCCUACCAAGGCGACGAUCCGUA
rnacentral:rRNA from 1 species